GAUGAACGCUGGCGGCAUGCCUAAGACAUGCAAGUCGAACGAAGUGGUCCAAUGAAGAUGGAGUGCUUGCACGAAAUCAGAUUUGGGUUGCCACUUAGUGGCGAAAGGGUGAGUAACACGUAGGUUAUCUACCUUUAAGACUGGAAUAACAUUAGAAAUGAUUGCUAAUACCGGAUGAUAUAUAGAGUAAUACGUUACUUUAUAUUAAAAGGAGCCUUUAAAGCUUCACUUAAAGAUGAGCCUGCGGCGUAUAGCUAGUUGUGGGUAAAGGCCUACCAAGGCGACGAUGCGUAGCCGACCUGAGAGGGUG
rnacentral:rRNA from 1 species